rnacentral:rRNA from 1 species
UCCUGGCUCAGAAUGAACGCUGGCGGCGUGCCUAAUCCAUGCAAGUCGAACGGGAAGCCAGCCUUCGGGCUGGUGGAGAGUGGCGGACUGGUGAGUAGCACGUGGGUAAUCUGCCUGAAGGUGGGGAAUAGCCCUUCCAACGAGGGGAUAAUACCGCAUGUGGUCUUGUCGAUGCAUAUCGACUUGAUCAAAGAGGGGGAUCUUCGGACCUCUCGCCUUCAGAUGAACCCGCGCCCCAUUAGCUAGUUGGUAGGGUAAUGGCCUACCAAGGCGACGAUGGGUAGCCGGCCUGAGAGGGUGACCGGCCACACUGGGACUGAGAUACUGCCCAGACUCCUACGGGAGGCAGCAGGAGGGAAUAUUGCACAAUGGACGAAAGUCCGAUGCAGCGACGCCGCGUGAGGGAUUGACGCUCCCCGGAGUGUAAACCUCAAACGGACAGGGACGAACGUUGGAUCGCUAAUACCGGUUCAAUUUGACGGUACCUGUUACGAAGCUCUGGCUAACUCCGUGCCAGCAGCCG